CAGCAACGGGAUAUCCUGCUGCUGCUGCUGCUCCUGCUGCUGCUGCUGCUGCUGCUCCUACUCCUGCUCUUUUUAGUGGGUAGGAGAAAUGCAAAAUGUGUUACUUUUGCUUUGGGUAAAACGCCUUUCAAUGAAAAAGGCUCUUAAAAUCCCAAGUGCGUCAGUGGAGGCCAAUUGUAUUGUGAUCAUCAUUGCCUUCAUGUUUUUCUAGUUUUAUGGCAGUUGACAAGGAUCGGAGUUUAUCAAUCUAUUUUCAUUGCCACUGAUAUCAACUGUAAAAAAUAUAUGCAAAGGCACCUACAACCCCUGCUGUCCCAGAGAGUGAUGGGACGGAGCUUCCCAGCCUAAAGCUUCCUUUUAGGAAUGACUACCAUGAUAUGCAGUUAUUUUUCAUCCAUGAAUAUUGCAAAGGUGAAGAAAUGAAAAACAAGCAAGUCUAUCUUAAUGAUAUUCUUAGAGAAGGUAGUCAUCUUGUUCAUGGAUUAUCUUCUUUUCAAUAAUACAAAUGAAAGCUUUUCUGCUCUGUUAUCUGCUUGCCAACUCUUGUUAUGCUUUCUUUAGUUGCAGAAUAUGGAGAUAUUGGCUUGUUAUAUUAAUCAUGAGUUCACAUGUUCCACUAAACCAUAAUGUGGUUGGUUUGCAUUAGACAGUAUGUGAAUGUAACCAUUGUGGCUUGUAAACCAAAAUUUGUAGGUUAGCAUAAUAUGUAAAGCCAGUUAUUGUGGCUUAUUCAAAUCCUGUUUAAAGUUAUGUUUUACUAGAAUAAAAUAAUUCUAGUUAGGAUAACAUCACAGUUCUUUUCAGAGUCAGACUUCACUGAAAGUAUGAAAAAAUAAAGAGGAGGAAAAAAGUCUGAAGGAAAGCAAUGCCCAGCUACCAAUAUCUGGUAGAAGAACAAGAACUCAGAAUGCAGCUUGAUGUUAAUAUUUGAAACUUACACACAUUUGAGAAAUGCCCAAUUCAUUCAUUUCAUUUAGAUAUUUUCUUCAAGAUCUUAAGAAACUGUAUGUUCUUCUUUUUCUGGUUUUAUCUACAAGUGUAAGGCUAAUUAGGCCAAGAAGCUUGCCUAGCUCACCAACUAAUAUUUAUGACUGAGCAGGAAUUUAUUUUGCCUCUCCCCAGUCUUGUAACAUUUUGGUGCACAGGCUAGAAAUUGGGAGACUAUGAAUUUUAAUCUCACCUUGGGCACAGAGCCAGCUGAGUGACUUUGAGCCAAUCCCUCCCUCUCAGUCCUAGGAAGGAAGCAAUAGCAAACCAUUGCUGAAAAACCUCCAACCAAGACAAUUGCAGGGAUUUGUCCAAGUAGUCAAAAGCUGACUUGAAGGCACACACGCACAUGCUUGCACGCAUGCAUGCCACACACACACACUCUUCUAGCAUUAUGACACAUGGAUUCUAAUGAGACAUAGCUAUCAUCAGCUGGGGUUUAUUGUUUUUAACCCAGGUUAAUAUCCAAUAUUAUCCCUUUGGAUUUAUUUUAUCUAAGUAGUCUAAUUCAUAAAGUUGAAAUAUAGCGAAACUAUGGAGGUCCCUUCCUGUGUCUUCCCCAUUUCUCCCAAAGGCAGUUUGUGCUAGAGAUGCUGGGAAAUGGUUGCUUCCUCUCCCUGGAUGAAGUCCCUCUUUUCUUGCAGGAGAAAGCAGGAGCAAUUAUUCUUAACCUCCUCCUGUCUGGCUAGAGGGAGAAAGUGAACGUAGAACAAGGGUGCUGUGUGUAUGUACAUGUGCACACAUGAAUAAAAUGAUGAAGUUUACCUUCCAUUCUUUACAGGGAUGGGUAAAUUACCCAAACUACCCAAAUUGAUGCAGCAGAGUGACAGUGAAAGUAAGGGAAUGAUUUUAUUUUCAUUGAAUUAUUUAGUCAUAACUUUCUGAGAGCAAAUUUCACUUAAUUCUGGACUUACCAAACCAUGAUUUCCAAAUCCAUUUUUAUUGAUGUUUUCAUGUCCUUAGCAGCAGCAGCCAGUCAUUGGGCUUCCUUAUGCUGAGGCAAACAAACCAAAUUAUAUCAACCUCUGUUAUCCAAUGUUAUUUUAACUUACUCGAAUCAAACUUUAUGGGAAGGAAUGACGCACAUAUAUAACUCAAAUGUACACAAAGGUGCCCAGUUCAGUUGCAACUGGCGGCUUAAGAGCAUCAAAUGGGCUGUGGGGGCAGGUGCUGUUUAUUGCCCAAAGCAUCCAGUUCCAGGUGUUGGCCAGCUUCACUUGUGAUCGAUGGUUAUUACUGGCUCCCAGUAAGCAGACAAGUAGUCUGAACUAAUCCCUAAGAAUGUCUGAUCUGGAGAGUGAGUCUUUUGGCAUGAGGGACAACAACAAGAGACUUUAUCAUGAAAACUCUUAUUAGUUUGUUUAAUUCACUAAACUGUAUUUACCCAAAAUAGCAACUGUGGCUGGGAUUAAUUUUCAGUUCCCUAAGGUUAAAUUGUUUCCCUUUCACGAUAAGAGAAAGGAAGAAUUAGGGAGGCAUGGAGUUGAAUGGCCUGAUCUGUUCUAAUUCACCAAAUAUUCCCUGUCAAGGGAAGGGACAUGGUUCAUGGCACUUUGGUAAUGGGCCCUGAAGCAUACAGAACCCAGCUGAUGAUUAAAAAAAAAAAAAAAGCACAUGCCAGCAACCAAAGUUUCAGGAAAGUUACAACUGUAGAAGCCCGCUUCCUAA